UCUUCCUUGCCCCUUUAUUUUUUCUCUAACCACUUAAUCUCUGCAUUCUUAAGUCUCUUUCCAGCAACCAUCCCCUUCAUCCCCAGCCCAUCUCACUGUUCCUCUCACCUGCACAGGACAGCAGCAGCAGCAGGGGCCAGAGGCUCAGAGCCAUGUUUCCAGAUGAGGAAAUGGAGGCCCAAAGAAAUAGAAUACCUUGGCCCACGCAAUCAAAGGAGGUGAAGGCAGUGCUGGGAUUUUCCAAGGUGUGAGGUGGAAAUUCAGAGGCUGAGGUGCCAAAACAGCAAACACCCUUCUUCUCCCCAGUUAUAUAUGCUACUCCAAUGGACUUAACUCCUGGUCUCCAUGGCUGCCCUAAAUCCAUA